AACAGCAAAAGCACACGCUGUCAGGAGGGGACACACUCAUCCCCGAGCCCGGCAGCCCCGCAGGUCUCCCAGCGCAGACCGGGAGAAAUGUGAUGUAUAUCCUCCAUGUUGGGCCCCAGCUCUGCCGGCUGCCAGGGGCUGAGCUGAGCAGGAGAUAACAGCCCCGCAAUGCAGACAGAAGCGGGCUGGCUCGCCUGCAUCCAUUGCCACCCCAGCUGGAGGAAGGAAAAAGGCCAGAGGAGGGCGUGAAGCUCUCCUUGCUGCACGUCCAAGGUCAGCACUGGGUGGCUUGUGGGGCACACGCUCCUCCAUAGGUACCGUCCCCUCCUCGAGACCCGGAGCAUGGGCUGUGGGGAGGUGGCAGCCCGGGAGCAGCAAGCCCCUGCAGCCACGGCUGCAUUGCUUUCCAGCAAAACUUGGGUACCACUGGACAGCGCUGACACCCAGCGCUGGCCUGUGCCCACCCUGCGCAGGGAUGCUCGGGGAUCUCUCCACCUCCCUUCCCUGGGCAGGCUGCAUGUUUUUGGGUGCUCUGCACAGCCACAGCUGCACCGCUUGGGCUGCUCUUGGCACUCCCAAGGGAACCCCAUCCUGCCCUCGGCUAUGGGGCAGCUGGAGGUUACCCUGCCCUAGCCGUCCUGCUUCGAGGUGAGCAGCACAGGCUUCUUGCAGAAGCAGCGAGCUUCGCUGGCCUCCCCUCCUGAGCAAAACUCACAGCUCUCUCAUGCACCUACACCGAGGCAGUGCCCGUGUGCUAGUUAAAGCAAGAAGAGGCUUAAAAAUGAAUGAGUGCCCUGCUUGGAAGAGCAAGGGUGGCUGUGACUUCAAAGCAUCUGCAGAAGCGAGACUGAAAGCAACCACUCGGCACGGGCAGAGGGAGGGAGCGCAGGCAGAGCCCACGGGGGGCUGCACGGCUGCAAAGGGCACAUCAGGAAACACCGUGUGGGGUCUUAAUGAAGGGGCUGAACCGGCUCAGGGCAGCAACAACUAUGGGCAAGUCGGGCUGGUGUAGCCAUCCCACCUGUGCUCCAGCCGCUCACUGUGCCAAGCUGCAGCCCCAAGCUCUGCAGCAUGGUGCAGGGCCCCGGGGAGGAAAAAUCUUCCCCUUCCUGGUGCUGCAGGAUGCUCUCGGCAGGGCUCCAGCACUGGAGCUUUCAGCCCACAGAGCAAGGAAGCUGGGCAGCCGCUGGGCAUGGCACGCCAGUGCUGCCAACCCGGCAGGCAGGGCCAGGCAGGCAGGGUGGCAGCCCCGGGCUCCACAGAUGCCUCCAUUGCCCUUCUUUUCAGCCACAGCACAGUGCUUACAGUGCCUCGUGGUCACAGAGUGCUCCUUGGGAGUCUCUCUCUGAGCAAAGCCUUUUACAAAUAGCCAUCCUUCCCCUAAAACAAUAAAAAAGUACCAGAUGCUGCUGGAAGCACCUGCUGCUCCAAAAAGCCCCAUUUCUUCAUAGUGCAAAGGUUUGGCAGGAUGCGUGCCCAGACUGCAAUAAAUCUUUAAGCUUUCUCCAGCUCAAGGCAAAUUUCUUACCAUGCUUGCAGUUCACUUCCUAAACUGGGGCACCAUCCCCUAAUGGAUUUUGUUCUGGGCUCACAAUAAGGGGAGCCUGGUGAUGCUCAAACCCAUAAUUCUCCUCCCCACACCAUCCCCUCCUACCACGGUUCCCAAUGCGAGACACACAGCUUCGGCUGGACCGGCCCCCAGCAGAGUAACGGAGCGAGGAUCAAACAGCACUUUCAUGAUCACAGCCAUCUUCCAGACUGCUGCUUGUAUUUCUCCCUCCCUAACCUUGUUCCUGGUAUUUAUGGUUCAGUGGCAAAGAAAUACAACCCGCUACACAGCACAACCAGUUCUUCCUCCCACCCUGCCCUCCGGAAUCGCUGCACCAAGAGGAGGGACUUAAGCCAGGAGAUGAGGAGACCUCGUGUAGACCUGGGCACCUGGGUCAGUCCCAGCAGGGGACUGAAGAUGACACAAUCACACCAGCCAGAGCUUUCCAAAAGUCACCUUCAGGUCUGAUCAGCUAUUGCAAACCACCUUGGACAUGAUGUGGCCUCUUCCAGACCAGGUCUGGUCUCCCUGUGGCCUCUGCCAUGUGGAUGGUUGGCCAAGAUGAUAAUUUUGCUGCUUAGCAUCUACCAAAACAUGCCCACAGGGAGAUCACAUAUGCUCUCCCUCCCCUGCUGACCAGCAAGAUACCCCCCAGGCAGGCAGGGCAUUGCCAGCAGGCUGUGUGGCUCUCAACGUGCUUUUGGGGAAAGCAGCAAGAUGACACUCAAGCUCCUUGGUCAUGAAGGGACAGAUGCUGCAAACAGGGGAGACCAGCAUGUGUGGCUCCUCCAUUUAGUUUGGACUCUUGAGCGACCGAUUCUGAAGCUUUGCUCUGGAAGAUGCUACUUGAGAUUGUCGAGGACCAGUAAACCCUCAUCACCCCAGGCUACAGAGCCACACUCCUUGGCGGAGACAAGGGUGGGGGACAGCAAGAGAUGGCAGCAGGACACAAUGGCAGACUUGUCCCAUAAGGCUUCAAAGAAGAGCAGAGAAGCCCAAGCAGGAGAUCCAUUGAUGAUUUCCUCCUUCAUCGAUCUCCCAAGUCCAUCGGUCCUUCUGCACAGACGUCACUGCUACGGGUGCAGGAGCUAUCGGUGCCCAGCCAGGCUCUGCCACGCAGGCGCCAGGCGUGUGCCAGGAGCACCGGGUAGGACACUGGGGACCUUAGAGAGCAGGAGCCCUCCCCAAGGUGGUCAGGAGCUGAGAUGCUGGAGGAUUUGUCUGAAUUGCAGCUCCUCCAGGUAAACUUGAGCUGGUGCUGCCGGCAGGAAGGUGGAGAGUGUGCCCUUCAGAGAGAUGGGAUGAUUAGGAUGCAGGUAGUGGGGGGUCAGCAUGCUGGGGACACAGGGGGGUCCCACCCUGCCCCUUGAAUGAGCAGAGGUGAGCAUGGCAUCAGCCCCAAGAGGCAGAAGGAAACAGUAGCUUGCUCCUACAAAAAAAGCUGCAUGUGUCCUGCUUAAUUUAAGCUAAUUAAUCCCUGCUGGACCCCCUUUUCAGGCUUCAAAUACACAAUUUUUUUUUUUUUUUAAUUUUAAAGCUGAAAGGAAGGCAUACAAAGAGUGCAGUGAAAGCACAGGCAGAGGUUUCAGUCCUCUGUCCCCAGGAAAGACCAGCACGCUUGGGGGGAUGGAUAGGAAAGGGGGGAUACACUUUACAGAAGGGGAAUUGAGGGCUAUCACUUAAGUUAAACAGUGUACUGGAGGACAUAAAUAGGUUUUCUUCAUUUUGUACUCUCAAAGCUAUGCGAAACAGUGGAGAAGUCUGAAGGCAACCCAGAGUUAAACACAUUUGAUACAAGAUCUUUUUUUAAACCUGGCCAGCAGAUUAUGCAACACUGAAGUGGGAGACAGCUGAUGGUCUGCAAAGAUAACUCCACCAAGAAAAAACAGCGGAUGAUCUUCCAAAUCUGCUGCAAGGUAGCAGAGAAGGGAAAUCAGACCCAGGGUUUGGAGCCUGCAGCAAUCUGUGCUGGCGACAGCAAAGGCGACAGCGCUGCCUUGCAACCCAGGCUGUCGCAGAGGGUGCUGGCAGCACACUCGCCCCUGGAGGCACAAAUGCAGACAGAGAUGGCCAUCACUCGAAUUCCCCAGGAGCACAAAAUCAGGACUGUUUUGCAACUGUUUGCAGCCGCGAUGCUUGCUAUUGCUGGCAGGCGGGAGCCCUGGGUGCCAGGACUGCAAAAACAACAGCAGGAGGAGAAGCAGGGGGGGUCCUUUAGCAAGUGCCAGGCUCACCCUCCAACCUGGCAUGCCAAGCAAAAAUCCUGGGCUCCUUGUUAAAUUAAUCCUAAAUCUGAAAACCUACCCAGGGCAAGAAAUCUGCAGCUCAGCCAGCGCUCAUGAUCUGGGAGACUGAAGGCAGAUGAAGCUGCAGAGGCCACCACAGUCCCUUUCCCCAGCUGCCUUCUGCCCAAAAAGGAGCAUUUCCAGGCCAGGGUCCCAGCCCCAAAGUGCCAGCAGAGCACAGAGGCGGGAUUUCAGACCAACACAGCUCUGCUGGCAAAAGCCCUGGCUCAGGCACAGCUAGAUACUGGCCAAACCACUUUUAUUAGGAGGAACUAGUUCCCAGGUAAAUGCUGCAUUUGGGGGUGAAGACUCGGCAGGUGCUACGAUUGUAGGAAAGCUGGGCGUGGGGAGAGCUUUUAGACGGGGGGGGGGGGGGGGGGGGGGGGAAUACUUCACCCUUCUCAGUGUGUGUGUGGGAAAUGUGCUAGGGACAAUAUAGCCCUCCAAUAAAAAGCAAAUGGUAACACUCAAACCUGGGAAGAGCUCGCAUUGCGGCUUGGGAAGGGAUGAGGAACAUCAUCUCAGCCCAAGGCGUGAUUCACGCACAAACUUCCUCCUCCACACCCAGGCAGCAGGAACCCAGCUCCGAGAUGGAGCAGAGGACCCUAUCCCACCCCCACAGCACUGUCACCCCCAAAACCCUCAACAGGUUUUUGACUUUGUAGCAAGGCAGCCGUGCCCCAGGGGACAGGCACCAGUUUGCACCAAGGCCAGCCCUGCGGCUGCCACGGCACAGAGGGCCACCAGCCCACCUGCAAGAGCAGCUACACGGGCAGCAUCUCCUACUGCCCUCCCUGAUGGGGACAUCAGGGUGGGUACCAUCCCUGCUACCCACCCUGGUAUUUUACAAACUCAGCUUCUUUGUAGGGUCAUUACCUGCCCUCUUUGGUCCGAAUUUCGAUCACUGCCACGGGAUUUGGUCCCUCAGCGGCAGCCUCCCACGUGCCGUACAGAAGGGAGUCACUCCUUGCGACGCCAAUGGGCAGCACAGGCUCAGUGGCUUGGGGACACUCGCAACGUCCUUCUCUGGGAUGCCUCCCUGUGCACCUCAGGGUACUGGUGGCACAGUUUCCUGGACGUAAUGUGGGACUUACACUGACCAUGACUUGAUGGGCAGAGUAGGUUGGGAUCACGUGUCCGCCUAUAUGCAAUGUCCACAAAUAGCUCAAAAGCAAAAUCCUCUGUAUUCAGACUCACGGGAAAGCGUAGAGGGGCAGAGAUAUUUUCUACUUCACACUUUAAUGUGCUCUCUGAAAAGGUGCCUCUGAAGGGCAGGACUGCAUAUUUAGUAAGACUGAAAAAUGUAUUUCAGCUGUUAUUUUAAGGAGAACGACUGAUAAAGCUGAAAACUCCUAAACUAUGUAGAAAACAACAGCCUAGAGAUCUGAAGCUUCCAGAAUCAGAAAGAAAUACCAAAUAGCUUUCAAUUCUUCACAGGUCAGUUCGUUAAGAUGCUGGAGGUGGAUUCAGAGGAGGAGGAGGUUUGGAAAGACAUCCCACCGCCCUGGCGCAUCCAGAUGCAUCCCUGUUCCAUCCCUGGUAGGGUCUUGGAGUCAAAGCAUGACCUAUAAGAGCAAUGAGUGCUGAUGACUGUCACCACAGCUCUGCAAGGAUGUUCUGGCUCCUUCUCUGCCUGCAAGACAUCCAUUUGCUAUCUCUUUUACCAUAGUGACUCCAAACCUGCUGAGCCCUGGGUGAAGAGGCAGCCCAGGAAGAGACAUCCCCGACAAAAGCCACUGCUACUGCAGAGCCAAAAAUCCCCCUCGCCACCACAACACACCAGCAGAGAGAGAAGCAGGACAACACGAGCGACGCAGGAGCAUCGGCGCAGCCGCACUCGGGAAGGCCAGUCAUGCUGCAAAACCCAGAGAAACUCACAGCGUGUCUCAGCUCCUUCCUCCUCAUGCACUGAGCUGCACUCAGCAGUGGCUUGCAGCUGCUGGCAGCACACACAGCACUGCUGGCGCUCUCAGAAAGGCAUUUUGCACUCCUUUCCUCUCUCCAGAUCAUCAGGACAGCAAAAAGGACCUUAUUUAGCAAGCGAAGAACAAAACGCUGACACUGUCUGCAGGAAACGCGGGGGUUAGGAAGCACCUUCCUGGCCUGAGAGCCCCAGACGCUCUCCAAGAUACAGAUGGAGUGCAUCGCUUAUGAACUCCUGACUCUGGAGACGCAGCCAAGAGGCAGCGUCAGUUUGCUGGCACAGGCUCUCCCUGCACGCAGCUCGCACAAACAUUUCCCUUGGGGAUGCAAACAGAAGAUGCCUGAUUGCACACUGGGAACACAAAGAGUUUUAUAGAUCAAGUGGUCAAAGCAGCAAGGUCAGCUGAGUCCCUUUCUUCAGCAGGAUUAAAGAAUUCAGGGCUCAGGCAGGAGAGAUUGCAAUCGCCGUCUGACAGCAGGAAGGAUGCAGGGAGGCAAAAUGCACAUGUUUGGGAGGAGGAAGGAAAGUGGGAAGAAGACCAGCCGCUGCAAACCGGGAAAAAGGCUGGGACCAGCCUUGCCCUGCAAGGGGAAGCUGCUGUCGCAGCAAGGAUAGAGAUAACAUCCCCGCCUGCACUGAGAGGCCAGGGACAAGUCACUGUGCCUACACCGCCACAGGGUGAAGCUGGCCCUGAACCAAGAAUGAAUUCGAGAGAUGAGGAAAACAGCUUUAACAAGCAGGUAGUCCUCAUUACCAGCCCUGGUUCACCUAAGCCCUGGAGAAGAUGUAGACACAUCCUUCUCCGGCACGAAAGACUUACCCGCAAAUGCAGUGCAGCCCCAGCUCACGGACGGUGGACACAGCAGCCCUGGGGAGCACCAAUGCCUGGAAUGUCAGACCCUGCACUGCAGAAGGGAGGGCUGCAUUGGAAAGCCCCCAACCCAGCCCUGCAGAGGGGAGGACCAUCUCACCCACUGCACACCCAGAUGUUCCCAGUAUUGCUGCCUGUACCUCUGUCCUCCAGGCUGACUCGAGUUCCUUGGCUUUGCUCCUGAGAGAGGGAUCUCCUACAGCCAAAACACAUCCUGGGUGAGAGCACACCCCACCCAUUAAAUGCUUGCAAACAGCUGUGGGGAUUUUAUAUUGCUUCUUUGCCAGCACCUGCAGACACUCAUUGCUUCCCUCCUCCUCUCCAAUAGGCUGUGGAGAGGACUUUUGCUCAACCCACCCCAGCAUGGUGGGGUCCCACCCUCUCCUUCCCAAGAGGAAAGGGUUGAAAUAUAAUUAACACAGUACAAGCACCCUGGAGCUGAGAAGGACCCCCACAGAAACUUCCACAUCUGCCUGGGCACACCUGGGCAGUUUCAAUACAAGCUGCAGUUAUGUGACCACAGCUCCCUUCUUGGGCCGGCCACAUGGACGGCUGGUCCUGCUGAGGCUGCCCCAGCCGUGGCUGCUGCGUGCUGCUCCAACACUGCUCUGCAGGCACAGCUAGCAAUUUCCUUCUGGGCUUUCCUGGACCACUCGUCACUUUGAUAUCCAAGUGCUUUGCAAAUAUUAACCAGUUUACUUUAACAGCACUCCCAGACAAGAAAGAGGAGGUGUAAGUAGCCCACGGUUUCAUAGGGAAUUUGAAGCACGGAGGCAUCACGGUCAAAAGGAUUUGUUGUUUCUGGGAGCGCAGCUGGAGAUGCCCCAGCCUUUGAAGGCAGGGUGCAGGCUAUAGCACGCUGAGCAUCCAAAGCAAACUCUCACUAAUGCCUUCCAGCUGCCGAUGAGGUUUUUCAGUACUCAGCCCCAGCGGGUCCCACCUGUGCACCAAAGGAGACAGAAGCUGCCGGCAAAACCGCACCUGAGUGCUGGAGGCAGCUACGAGAGGGUCAACUCCGCUUCCCCCCUCCCUGAGAGCUGAGCUGUGUUUGCAUGCCCUGUGUCACCCAUGCUUCAACCAAAAGAAUCCGCCAUCCCCCACGCACAGAGCAGCCAGCAGGUCUUCCCUUCCUAAGCCAGUCCAGCAGCCUGUGUCUCUUCCCAGUAGCUCCCAGUCUUGCCACCUUCUCCUUCAGACCCU